UGGGGAAUUUUGGACAAUGGGGGAAACCCUGAUCCAGCCAUCCCGCGUGUGCGAUGAAGGCCUUCGGGUUGUAAAGCACUUUUGGCAGGAAAGAAACGUCAUGGGUUAAUACCCCGUGAAACUGACGGUACCUGCAGAAUAAGCACCGGCUAACUACGUGCCAGCAGCCGCGGUAAUACGUAGGGUGCAAGCGUUAAUCGGAAUUACUGGGCGUAAAGCGUGCGCAGGCGGUUCGGAAAGAAAGAUGUGAAAUCCCAGAACUCAACUUUGGAACUGCAUUUUUAACUACCGGGCUAGAGUGUGUCAGAGGGAGGUGGAAUUCCGCGUGUAGCAGUGAAAUGCGUAGAUAUGCGGAGGAACACCGAUGGCGAAGGCAGCCUCCUGGGAUAACACUGACGCUCAUGCACGAAAGCGUGGGGAGCAAACAGG
rnacentral:rRNA from 1 species